UACGGAGGGUGCGAGCGUUGUUCGGAAUCACUGGGCGUAAAGCGCGUGUAGGCGGCCCACUAAGUCUGAUGUGAAAGCCCGGGGCUCACCCCCGGAAGUGCAUUGGAAACUGGUGGACUCGAGUCCCGGAGAGGAGAGUGGAAUUCCUGGUGUAGCGGUGAAAUGCGCAGAUAUCAGGAGGAACACCGGUGGCGAAGGCGAUUCUCUGGGCAUGUUCUGACGCUGAGGAGCGAAAGUGUGGGGAGCGAACAGG
rnacentral:rRNA from 1 species